rnacentral:lncRNA from 1 species
CGUUCGAGCGUGUGUUCGUCGUCGUAGCAUCGCGAGGGGGGCCGGGCGAGGGUCCGAUUCUGCCGUUUUUGUUGUCGCGCCGGAUUGUGAUUAGCGUUUGAGGUGGGUUACAUCGGCUUUACUCCUAAGUUCUUAUUGGUCGACAUGUAUAGAUCUUGAUUUCGGUCAUUAAUUUAGCUCAAAUUCAUGGACUAUAUGUAGAUUGUGAAAUCUGAAUUUUGGAGCAUAUUUUAUAAAUUAAGUAGAUCAUACAUGUUGGACUUGGAAAUUGAAUUAGGAGAAAACCUACGAUUUGGACCUGUCACCAGUUUUAACUACCUGAUUUAGCUCUAGGAGCCGUUAGAAAAUUGUACUGUCGCAGUUCUUCGAGACGAGUACUCCAGGUAGUUUAGAAUGUAUUUACACUCGUGCUCGUUCGCCGAGUGGAUUUUUACAGGGUCGUUCAGGUUGUUUCGGACUGUUGGGUGCCGUCAGAGUUGACGGUGGACCCGUAUCGCCUUUUUGGGCGUCAGAUUGUGCCGAGGGCACGUUACCUAUUGGUUGUUAGACCAGUUUGAGUCGAUUACUUGACUUUGGCUAGUUGGAGCCUGUUUGAGCUCGACAGAGAUACGCUGCAUACUCGGUUGGGUAGCGCCCACGAGUGCCACUCCGGAGUCAGGCUUGUGCUUUCGCGUUGGUGUCGCUCAUGCCAGUUGGACUUGCUCUCCACGGACCAGUUGGUGUGGAGGUAGCUGGAUAGUCGCAACGGGGCAGGGACGGGUGUGUUCACACUCCCAGGGACGGGUAUGCUUAUAGUCCCGAUUGGAUUGGGUCAGAUUGACAUUUCCUACAGUUGGUUAGUGUAGAGCAUGAUAGUGUAGUAAUUGAUAGCGGUAGAGCGUACUUCCUGCUUUUCCUACUAUUCUUGCUCCCUUCUGUAGACUUAGUGGGUGACCGAUGUUGUUUUGGGCGGUACCCACUGAGGACUACUUGUUUUUACAGUAGUUCUCACGCCCAGUUGUUACUCUUGUUUUGCAGAGCCAUAGGUUUCGGCUGCUGCGCCUUCCGCGGAUCAGGAUCGAGGCAAGGGCGUCGCGAGUUAGAGCCCUACCUGACGAGCAGAGUUAGAGGCACCCCUACUGCAGGUAGAUGUUUUGUUUCGAGUUUAUGUACAUAGUUUACCUAACUCGCCAGUGCGAGUAACUCUGUAUUUUGGAUUUGAGCUAUGUAUAUGAAACUCAAUUUGUUUAGCUUUUGUUUUCUCUAGCAGCUCUAUACUACUGUUUGUAGUAUUGUAUGUUUACAGGUACAGCUGUCGCUUCGUAUACAGGGAAAAUUCCUUUGUAUACGGCGGAUUUGUCGGCGUGCCCGGGGAACGUGUAAUCCGGGGCGUGACAGAUUAAGUUGGUAUCAGAGCUUUGCUAUAGGUCAUUGGGACCUAGGAAACCUAAGUUGGCAAACCUUAGGAAGCAAGACGCGAGAGGCGUGAUUUAAUUGCGGAAGUCGAUGAUUAUUUGUUCUAACUCCUCCUAAAGCGGAGUGAGUGACUGAAGGAGUUCCUGUUUUGGCCUGAGAAAUUAUGUUGGCUGCAGACGACAUAAUUUUGGAGGAAAACAGGGACCGCCUUCCAGACUUUCGUUGAUUGGGUCGAGAGUGUUGUAUUGUAUCUGACCCCGACUUGUUCUUUGCAGCUAUGUAUCGUCGCCGAGGUCGACCUUCGUUACGGGAGCGCGCCGAGUUGGCGCGAGAUCGUGCUGGACCUUCUGAGAGACCCGAGCAGAUGGAGCAGAGUGCUCGGCAGGAGCAGAGUGACAGACCGGAGGCGAGUGCACCCCCUGUUGUAGGGCCGAGUGCGCAACCUGAGGCUGGCGCACCCCCUGACCUAAGUGCACAGUUGGUUGCCCUGACUGAGGUGACGAGGCAGCAGGGGGAGUUGUUGCAGAGGUUGUGUGAGAGAAUAGCUCAGUCACCGAGUUCAGCACCGAGUAUACCAGAGCAUACUGUUCCCCCACCGACUACUCCAGUGUCAGCUCCAGCCGCAGCUAUGCCCCCACCAGUGGAGCUUCCUACAGCGCCAGUUGCGCCUGCUAGGGGACCCGUACAGUUGACAGAGGCCGAGCAGGAGCGAUGGACGGAGAGGUUGGCUCGUUUCCGCUGAUUUGAUCCACCUACUUUCGAUGGCAGCGGCACUGAGGCCUGGGUUGUUGAGGGAUGGGUCAGUGCUAUGGAGAGGUUAUUCGAGGAUCUGUACGUUCCAGAGGGGGAGCAGGUACCUUUGGGAGUACAUUGUUUGUCAGGUGAUGCACGUGAUUGGUGGCGGAGAGCGAGGCGAGACCAGGGACUAGUGGCGGCACAGCUGAGGUCGGAUGAGUUCUGUGGAAUGCUGUAUGGGAUGUAUUUUCCCAACAGCAUGAAACAGAAGAUUGAGGAGGAUUUAAAGAGGAUCCAGCAGGGCGAGCGGACAGUUCAGGAGUAUGUUCGGGAGUUUACUAGACUCUUGAACUGUGUUCCGUUCGUGGCCAGAGACGAGGCACAUAGGGUCUACUUGUUUGAGCAGGGUUUGACACCCGACCUAUUCAGGUUUGUUAGGGCGCAGAGGUCGAGGACUUUGGACGCGUCCAUUGAGCAGGCACUAUGGGAGGAGAGAGGAGAGGUGUCACUGCGAGAGAGGGCUCAGGGGCCGGGACAGAGUCAGGACAGGAAGCGCCCAGCUCCAAACGACGGAGGACAGUCGAGUAGCAGGCGUCCGCCGAGACCUCCACGAUCGCGUUCUCAGGGUCGUGGGUUCUCGGGACGUCAGCGAUCCAGAGACUUCCGUCAGCGAGGACAGCCAGAGAGGACGCCGCAGUGUGUGAUCUGCGGAGGACCACACUGGCCCAGACAGUGUGAGCAGAGGGAGGGCCGGUGCUACGGAUGUGGUCAGCCGGGACACAUGAGGGCAGCUUGUCCCAGAGCAGCAUCUCCAGCACCAUCAUCUGCUUCAGCUCCACCAGCACCUCAGCAGACUUAUAGAGCAGCACCGAGUUACCGCCAGGAUGAUAGAUCGUCCAUGCCGCGACAGAGUGAGCGUCGACAGCAGGCUCCGAGUGGUAGAGUCUAUGCAGCUCAGGUGGAGGACUCUACAGCAGCCGACCGAGUGGUGGCAGGUAUCACUUUGAUUUCUGGCAUUAGAGUUCACACUCUUUUUGAUACUGGUGCAACGCAUUCCUUUGUUAGCCGAGCAUUUGCAUUGUUGCAUGGUCUAGAGUUAGGGGCAUUGUCACAGGCACGAGAGGUGCAGAUCCCGGACCAUGUUUUACAGGUUGCGGAGUGUUGUUGGUCGUGUCCGGUGCAGUUGGACUCGUGGGUCAUGCCCGCAGACCUGUUGGUGUUAGGGCAGCUGCAGGACUUCGACGUCGUGCUCGGUAUGGAUUGGCUUGCGCGGUACUAUGCUACGAUCGACUGUGGAGCGAGGACGGUGACGUUCCGCGAGCCAGGUCAGGAAGAGUUCACAUUCAGAGGCUGCAGGAGUACGCUAUUUGCCACCUGGAUAUCUUCGGCGAGGGCUCGACAGAUGCUGAGUAGCGGGUGUAUCGCUUUCCUAGCGACUGUUGUGGAGGUACCUACGGCGGCGCCGGGACUUGAGGACAUCCCAGUAGUCCGCGAGUUUCCGGAUGUAUUUCCCCCUGAGUUGACGACGUUGCCGCCGGAGAGGGAGAUUGAGUUUGUGAUUGAUGUGGUUCCUGGAACUGCACCAAUCUCAAAGGUACCUUAUCGGAUGGCGCCGGCAGAGCUGAGAGAGCUAAAGGCACAGCUUCAGGAUUUGAUGGAUAAAGGGUUUGUGAGACCCAGUGUGUCGCCUUGGGGAGCGCCAGUGCUAUUUGUAAAGAAGAAGGAUGGUUCACUCAGGUUAUGUGUGGAUUACCGGGAGCUGAAUAAAGUGACCAUCAAGAAUAAGUAUCCACUGCCGCGCAUUGAUGAUUUAUUUGAUCAGUUGCAGGGAUCCUUCGUCUUCUCGAAGAUUGAUCUCUAGUCAGGUUACCACCAGCUGAGGGUGAGGGCCGAGGAUGUUCCCAAGACGGCUUUUCGGACUUGGUACGGGCAUUAUGAGUUUACAGUAAUGCCUUUUGGAUUGACAAAUACCCCUGCCGCAUUCAUGGAUUUGAGGAACAGAGUGUUCAAGCCGUUCUUGGAUAGAUUUGUGGUAGUCUUCAUCGACGACAUCCUGAUAUACUCCCGGAGUGAUGCUGAGCAUGAGGAGCACUUGAGGAUUGUGCUACAGCUUCUGCGAAAGAAGAAGCUGUAUGCCAAGUUGAAGAAGUGCGAGUUCUGGCUUCGGGAGGUUGCUUUCUUGGGCCACGUGAUUUCAGCCGAGGGCGUAGCAGUGGACCCGAAGAAGAUUGAGGCGAUUCGAGAUUGGCCUAGACCGACGACGGUGACUGAGGUACGGAGCUUCCUGGGACUGGCAGGAUAUUACCGUCGGUUUGUGGAAGGCUUUGCGAAACUUUCCACACCCCUCACACGCUUGACGCGAAAGGGGAUUCGUUUUGUUUGGAGCGAUGACUGUCAGAGGAGCUUUGACGAGUUGAGACUGAGGUUGACAUCAGCUCCUAUCCUUGCCCUUCCGGUGAUGGGGGAUGGAUUUGUGAUCUACAGUGAUGCAUCGCACAGUGGACUUGGUUGCGUGCUGAUGCAGCAUGGUAGGGUGAUUGUUUAUGCUUCACGGCAAUUAAAGGAUUUUGAGAAGAAUUACCCUACGCAUGACUUGGAGCUUGCCGCGGUGGUUUUUGCUUUGAAGCUCUGGCGGCAUUACCUGUACGGCGAGCACUGCGAGGUUUUCACCGAUCAUCAAAGUCUCAAGUAUCUGUUCACACAGAAGGAGCUGAAUCUGAGGCAGCGCCGGUGGUUGGAGUUACUGAAGGACUAUGACAUUAGUAUUCAGUAUCAUCCCGGCAGGGCGAAUGUGGUGGCAGAUGCGUUGAGCAGGAAGUCAGUGCAGAGCCUGAGUUUGAGGAUUACUGAGGAGAGACCCCUACUCGAGGAGUUACAGCGGCUGGGACUCGAGAUAGUACCCCCUGGGUUUACGGCGAGGCUGACGUCUCUAGUAUUACAGCCCACUCUGUUGGAUAGAAUCCGAGAGAAACAAAGUGGAGAUCCGUACUUGUUGAGGAUUAGAGAGCAGUUAGACAGGGGGCAGGCUGAGGGAUUUGCUUUGGACAGUUCGGGAGUACUACGGUACAGGGACCGACUGUGUGUGCCUGUGGAUCCGGAGAUUCGAGCGGAUAUUCUGAGAGAGGCUCAUUGUUCCCCUUAUACGGUUCACCCUGGGGGAACCAAGAUGUAUAAGGAUCUUAAGGCACAGUUUUGGUGGCCUGGAAUGAAGAGGGACAUUGGCAGAUUUGUGGCUCAGUGUUUGACUUGCCAACAGGUGAAGGCCGAGCAUCAGGUGCCUGCUGGCAAGCUUCAGAGUCUGCCAGUUCCCGAGUGGAAGUGGGAGCACACCACGAUGGACUUCGUCGUUGGAUUGCCUAGAGCGCAGGGUGGCUACGACGCGAUUUGGGUGAUAGUGGACAGACUGACCAAGUCUGCUCACUUCCUACCGGUUCAGACUACCUGGUCCAGGGAGAGACUCGCGCAGCUAUACUUGGAUGAGAUCGUUAGGCUGCACGGCGUGCUAGUGUCGAUUGUAUCAGAUAGAGACCCGAGGUUCGUAUCCCAGUUUUGGAGGAGCCUUCAGACAGCCUUGGGUACACAGCUACAUUUCAGCACAACAUUCCACCCACAGACAGAUGGUCAGUCAGAGCGGACCAUUCAGACUCUAGAGGACAUGCUGAGGGCAUGUGUCCUGGACUUUGGAGGAGGGUGGUAUCGACAUUUGAGACUUGUUGAGUUUGCGUACAACAACAGCUAUCAAGCGAGCAUUCAAAUGGCUCCGUUUGAGGCGUUGUAUGGACGCAAAUGUCGAUCCCCCCUAUUUUGGAGUGAUGUGGGUGAGCGGAGGACAUUUGGACCAGAGAUUCUACUUGAGGCUGAAGAAAAGGUGAGAGUCGUUCGACGACACCUUUUGACAGCACAGAGCCGACAGAGGAGCUACGCCGAUACCAGGAGACGAGACUUGGAGUUUCAGGUUGGAGAUCAUAUUUUUCUCAAAGUCUCGCCGUCUAGAGGGAUACGUCAUUUUGGAGUACGUGGAAAGCUUAGUCCACGGUUUGUUGGCCCUUUCGAGGUAUUGGAGAAUAUCGGACCGGUGGCUUACAGGAUAGCUCUAUCCCCGCGACUAGCUGGCAUUCAUGAUGUAUUCCACGUCUCGGCGCUAAGAAAGUAUGUUUUCGAUCCGUCUCAUGUGAUUGACUUCACCCCACUAGAGAUUGGUGAGGACUUGAGGUACGAGGAGCGACCGGUGCGAAUUCUUGCUCGUGAGACGAAAGAAUUGCACAACCGGAUCAUUCCGUACGUGAAAGUGCAGUGGAGCAAUCACGAGGAGCGGGAGGCGACUUGGGAGCCUGAGAAGGUGAUGAGGGAGUCUUACCGCGACCUGUUCGUUGCCCCGUGUUGAGGUAUGUGUUAAGUUUCGAGGACGAAACUUUUUUGUAGUAGGGGAGGAUGUAGUAUCCUUAAUUUUGUUUUUAUUUGAGUUGGUAGACUAGUAGUGGAUAAGGAUGCCACGUGUAACUCUAACCUCAUGCAUCCUUAUCAAUUGAGUUUUAACUGAGGUGUAUAGUUUUUUUAUUUUCAUUUUUACUUCUUCUCUCUUUCUCCAUUCGGCCGAAGUAAGGAGGAGUUCGGGUUGUGCCGCGGAGCUCGAUUUCGACGCCGACGAUGCGCCGCGAAGCCGUUCGAAGGUACGGUUGGGCUCGUAGUGUUGUGAGGAGGCUUGGCAAGGGUCUAUUUCCGCCAUUCUCGACGUCGCGCCGGAUUGGAUUUAGCUUUCGAGGUGGGUUACAUCGGCUUUACUCCUAAGUUAUUAUUGGUCGACAUGUAUAGAUCUUGAUUUCGGUCAUUAAUUUAGCUCAAAUUCAUGGACUAUAUGUAGAUUGUGAAAUCUGAAUUUUGGAGCAUAUUUUAUAAAUUAAGUAGAUCAUACAUAUUGGACUUGGAAAUUGAAUUAGGAGAAAACCUACGAUUUGGACCUGUCACCAGUUUUAACUACCUGAUUUAGCUCUAGGAGCCGUUAGAAAAUUGUACUGUCGCAGUUAUUCGAGACGAGUACUCCAGGUAGUUUAGAAUGUAUUUACACUCGUGCUCGUUCGCCGAGUGGAUUUUUACAGGGUCGUUCAGGUUGUUUCGGACUGUUGGGUGCCGUCAGAGUUGACGGUGGACCCGUAUCGCCUUUUUGGGCGUCAGAUUGUGCCGAGGGCACUUACCUGUUGGUUGUUAGACCAUUUUGAGUCGAUUACUUGACUUUGGCUAGUUGGAGCCUGUUUGAGCUCGACAGAGAUACGCUGCAUACUCGGUUGGGUAGCGCCCACGAGUGCCACUCCGGAGUCAGGCUUGUGCUUUCGCGUUGGUGUCGCUCAUGCCAGUUGGACUUGCUCUCCACGGACCAGUUGGUGUGGAGGUAGCUGGAUAGUCGCAACGGGGCAGGGACGGGUGUGUUCACAGUCCCAGGGACGGGUAUGUUUAUAGUCCCGAUUGGAUUGGGUCAGAUUGACAUUUUCUACAGUUGGUUAGUGUAGAGCAUGAUAGUGUAGUGAUUGAUAGCGGUAGAGCGUACUUCCUGCUUUUCCUACUAUUCUUGCUCCCUUCUGUAGACUUAGUGGGUGACCGAUGUUGUUUUGGGCGGUACCCACUGAGGACUACUUGUUUUUACAGUAGUUCUCACGCCCAGUUGUUACUCUUGUUUUGCAGAGCCACAGGUUUCGGCUGCUGCGCCUUCUGCGGAUCAGGAUCGAGGCAAGAGCGUCGCGAGUUAGAGCCCUAC